ACGCCCCCCCCCCAAACCCCUCAGACCCCCUGCAUUCCUCUUCAUCGCCUCUAACCUAAACCUAACCGCCCUCAAACGCUCCCAAUUUCACACGGCCUAAACCCUAGCCACCGCCCGCAUAAAUCAUUUCACGACGGCGGCCGGUCUCCAAACCACCCCAAAAUUACACCAUGAAAUCCUCAUCCCCCCUUAUUCCCAAAUCCAUCAUUAGAUUUCGUUAAAUCCCAACCAAAUUCACGUAAUUUCAGAUCUGAAACCCCAAAAAAGGGCAAACUCUAAUUUCCUUGUCCUUUUCUGAUUUUUGUACUUUUUCCUAAACUCUAAAUUCACGUACUUUUCUAAUUUUUGUACUCUAAUUUCCUUGUCGUUUUUACCUAAAUAUUACGUUAAUAGAUUGUUUUCAACAAGAGCAAUCAAUUGACGAUAGUUUUAAGUCAUUCCGAGGACAUCGGAUUUGGACAAGUUCGCCAAAGUCCAGCCAGAAUUCGUCAGUUCCCUUCAAGUUCUUUAUCUUUGUUCUUCUGAGUUAAACAGGGUAAAAUCUCACCUUCUCCCCUUUUUUUCUUUAAGUACCAAUUUUAUUUCAUCACUGAUAUUCCCAUCUUUCGUUUGUUGAUUGUGUUUUCUUCACUAGUUCUGUUUGCAUGAUAAAGUAAAUUUUAGUUCACUUUUAGCAUGUUUAGGUUAAUUAUAAUCUGUCUUACGAUAGUCUAAUUGAAUCUAGUUGUUAGUUGACUAGUUUUUCUAGUUUAGUUUGGACAAUUAUACUUUGAUUUCGGGUUUUGGGUUUGUCAAGGAGGGCCUGAUCAAUCGAGGCCUAGUUUGUAUUGGGUUUGGGCAUGAUUUAGGCCAUUUGACCCUGACUUGGGUUUGUCUUAGGCCAUUUGGCCAUGACAAUUGGCCUGCUUGUUUGUGUUUGCCUUAAUUUGUAAAUCAAUAGACAUUUCUAGGGGUCAAUCGAACAAAAAGAAAACUUAAGGGGUUUGUUUGAAGGGUGGGAAAAUAUAAAUAGGAUAAAAUUCAAGCUGGAAUGUUCUAAAAUGGGGGCAGCUGGCCUCAUUUGGUUAGCACAAAAUGCUGAAACCAAUGAGAUAAAGCCAGCUGUCCAAGUUUGUUAAAUGAUGCUUUGUGGCUGACGAGAAUAAUUCCCUCAUCCUUUUUCAGCACAUGGCAUUCUUGAGGCCUAUAUAUAGAACCCUUUCCCCACUCCCAAAAAAUGGAUUUGGAACCUUAGAAAAAUAUAAAAGUUUCUGCAUUACAUUCACUAAAAUUUGGGUCAAACUAUUCUCUGGUUUUUUUUUGGUCAAGAACUUAGAAGUUUUCAUGGGAAUUUCUGGUCCACUAAGCUGAACAUGGCUGGUUAUUGAAGUUGUGGUUUCGAUUAUCAUUGUUGCUCCCUGCUGGUCCAAAAGUUUUGAUUAUCAACUGAACAUCUAAUGUUCGGAAUUGCUGUACUAUUUUGUCAUAAGUGAGUUAGGGGGAGCUAAGCCUAAAAGGGCCUUAAUGUUGAAGGUCCUCUUUUGUUAGAGGCUAUUGGGCCAACCUUGGCCCAUAUCAAGUGGUCCGCUUGGAGUUAUAUUCAAAAUGUGUUUCAUUGUUUUCCUUUUGGCUUUUUGGGCUCGAUCUUGAUCCCUGUUAGGUUCAUCAGCCUCAACUUGUUAAGUUUUUAUAUGAUGUACAAUGGAAAUAUUUUUUUACUGGAAGUUUGACUAUGAAAGGGCUGGGCUCGGUACUUGGCCGUUCAAGGCAAUUUUAGCCUCUUGCCCUAUCUUUGUCUUGGGGCUCCAUGUCGAGCCUAUUUGUCUUAAUGUACUAUUAAAGAUAUUUAAGCAAUUUUGGGUUUACCGUAGGCCCCAGAGAUCUCCUCAAAUAGUUAAAUACUUAGUAUACUAUCAAAGCCCUUUUAUAAUUAGUGAUUUCAGAUUAAGCGUUAAUUUAGAUUAAAAUCGAACAUCCUUAAUUUACUUUAGUGAAUACAAUUCUCUCCUUUAAAUAAAGUGAGGUGUUCCAUCUUAACUAGAUCGCCUAUGGCCCUCACAAAUGCUAUAAUUAGAUAUUAAAAAUAAAUAUUCGUAGAAAAGCCUUUAAGCGCGUUUAAAAUACAAUUGUGAUUGUGUACACGUUUGCGUGACAUAAUUACGGUUCUAAAAACAAAACCGGAGUAUGCGUUCGCGCAACUUUGUCCAAACUUUCUUAAUAAUAAUAAAGCAUUAUUAAUUGUGGACACGUUCUCGUGAUAUAAUUUUGACGCACCAAACAAAUGGGUACAUGUAUGCGUGACAUGUUUCAAGAUAAUUUUUUUAUUAAAAGAAGCAAAUGCACAUAGGUUCUAAAAUCAAUAAUCAAACAAUUUGUUUAAGCCAAAUAUGAUCAAAGCGACUGUGCUAGAACCAUGAAACUCGGGAGUUCCUAACACCUUCUCCCUGGUUAACAGAAUUCCUUACCCGGAUUUUUGUGUUCGCAGACCGUAAAUAGAGUCAACUUCCUAGAUUCAGGAUUUUAACCGGUGACUUGGGACACCAUUAAUUAUCCCAAGUGGUGACUCUGAUUUUAAUUUAAAUAAUCCUAUUUCGAUUGUCACUUAAAUUGGGAAAAAACUCCCCUAAACCCUUCCGAGGUGUAUGAAGAAGGAGGUGUGACAAACAUGUCAACUCGAACCAAUACAUCAUCAAUAAUACCCAAAAACCUCUUCAUUGUGCUAUUCUCCAUUUGCAACGUCAUGGAUGUGGGUCUUGGCUGCCCAGUUCCGAAAGUUUUGAAUACCGAAUAGGGCAUCAAGUUGAUACUUGCCCCGAGAUCACAUAAUGCUUUGGUAUCAGCGUUCCUAAUAGUGCAAGGGAUUGUAAAAGCGCAUGGAUCUUCCAACAUUGGAGCGAUUGAGUGCACAAUAGCACUCACUUGAUGAGUCAUCUUGAUGGUCUCACAAUUCAUUGAUCUUUUCCUAGUUAGCAAAUCCUUCAUCAAUUUUGCAUAUCCCGGUAUUUGUUCCAAUUCCUCAACCAACUGCACAUUAAUUGACAUACUCUUAAUCAUAUCAAUAAACUUUUUGAAUUGGUUUUUCCUAUUUUGCUUUGCAAGCCUUUGAGGAUAUGGAGGAGGAGGCCUUGGCAUUGGUGCCUUAGCCUUGGACACUAUUGGUUCCAGCAUGUAAAUCACGUGUUCCCUAGACGGGUUCACCUCUUCUUGCGUCUCCUCCACACUUACAUCUAUAUCAAUUCUCACUUCUUCAUUAGCUUGAACCACAUUGCUUGGGAUUUCAUCUUCUUGAACCACAACAUCUUCAUCCACAAUCUUUCUUUGAUUUGAGGUGGUUGCAUACAUUUUCCACUUCUAGUAGUCACGACCAUAGCAUGUCCCGUAUUAUUCCCACCCUUUAGGUUUACUACCGUAUCACUAGGUAGUGCCCCCUUAGGAUGAGUGUUCAAAGCUUGUGAGAUUUGGCCUAAUUGAAACUCCAAAUUCCGAAUAGAAGUGUCGUGCGAGGCUAAUUGAGCAUCGGAGUCGGUAUUCUUCUCCAUAAUCUGUUUAAACAUGUUUUCAAUUCUACCCAUCUCAUUGGAAGAAGACCUCUGGCGUCGAGAAUGAUAGUGAUGUGGAUUUCUUGGCUAUUGGAACAUCAGGGGCCUUUGAAAACCCGACCCCCCGUUGUUGUUAUUAUUCCAUCCUACUUGAUUACUGCCCCCCCCCCCCCGUAAUUGCUUUGAUUGUUGUUAACCCAAUUGCCUUGAUUACUCCAAUUUCCUUGAUUUCCUUGAUUGUUGCAAUUGCCUUGAUAAGGAUUGCCACCACUACAAUUGCCUUGGUGGUUUUGGUUGUUCCAAUUACCUUGGUUCCCUUGCGACCUCCAUUAUUGUUGAUUUUGUCCUUGAGCAUUGUUUAUUUGUCCUUGAUAAUUGUUGACAUAUUGAACUUCUUCUUCUUGCUCAUUGAACGAAUCACCUUGAUCAUACCCACUAUCAUCUUGCAUAAAUUGUUUCGGACGGCUUUGCAUUUGUUGACCUUGGCUCCGUCUUUUGUUUACCAUCAUAUUCACACCUUCCAUUGCGUGCACUUGUUUUGGACCUUGAACUUGUUGAAGCUAAGCUUUGGCCAAUUGCUUCAUGGUAGUUGUCAACUCGGCAAUAGCUUGCCCAUGGUCAUGUAGCUCCUUGUGUAGGUGAAUAAUAUUAGGGUCACCUUGCGGAACAUUGGCUCUAUUUUGCCAUGCCGAAGAGGUAUCUGCCAUCUAAUUAAGAAUUUCACAAGUUUCUACAUAAGGCGUGUUCAUGAAGUUCCCCCUGGUGAAUUGGUUAACCACACAUUGAUUAGUUGUGUUGAUCCCCCUGUAGAAGGUUAUUUGGAUCAUGGCCUCAGUCAUAUCAUUGUUCGGACACUCUUUAAUCAUGCUACGAUUUCUUUCCCAAAUAUCGUGCAAUGGCUCAUUGGGUUCUUGCUUGAAAGCAAGAAUAUCAUCCCGAAGCGUCGCCAUAUGUCCCGGAGAGAAGAAUUUGGAAAUGAACUUCUCCACCAACACAUCCCAAGUGUGGAUGAAUGGUUGGGUAAUCUUUCUAACAGUCCAAUGCCUUUCCCUUAGAGAAAAGGGAAAUAGCCUCAACCUCAGCGCGUCCUCAAAAACAUUUGUUUCCUUACUGCCCCAACAAGUAUCGACGAACCCCUUGAGAUGCUUGUAUGCAUUUUGAUUUGGAGCCCCGGUGAAGAAUCUCCAUUGCUCAAGUAGUGUAAGCAUCACGUUGGUGAUUUCUAAGUUGUCCGCCCUAAUGCGGGGUAGGACUAUAGCAUUUGCAUAACCCUCGUUUGGUAAUUGUCGGUGGGCUUCCGCUCUUGGUAGAGGUGGGGGAAAGGCGGGUACAUUAUCGUGAGGUGGGCGGCCUCGUCUAUUAGCUUGGGGUUCAAUAGGAACCUCAUCCAUUUGAUCAUCAUCCACUUCCUCCCCCAAUGGCACAUUUCUGAUGGGCUCAUUGUUGAAAGUCAUUUUCGUGCCUAAAUUCAAUUCAAAACAAAAUUAGUGACUCGGAAGGAAAAGAAGACAAAGCACACAAAAACCUAGAUAUAUAGCUAAAUCCAUUUAACUCCCCGGCAACGGUGCCAAAAAUUGAUGUCGCCUAAACUAACACCACAAUUAUAAGUAGUGAGGCGGUCGAAGCAAUAAUAAAAUCCAAUGCGAGUCGAGGUCGAUUCCUAAGGGAGUUAGAAAUGGGAUUAGGUAUAGACCUAGUGUAAUUGUAUAAUGUGCCUCAAUUUUCACUUCCACAUUCCUGUUGGUUGUUUCUAUUUCUACUUUAAUUUAUUGUUUGCAAUUAAUAAACUAGAAGACAAUGUUUUUGAUUUUGGUUGUUUUUCAAAUGACAAAGGCUCUAGGGUCGUGACUUCCACCUAGGUGGUUACCUAACGGUUGUAAACUCUAUGGCAAGUUUGAUUAGUCAGGGUCGUAAUAUAGCAAUCACACGCUAUUACCCACUUUAUACCUCUCAGUAGUUUGAGAAAUUUUGUCCAAUUUGGUUUUCUCAAAUCCAAAUGGGUAUUGCAAAAAUCAAGUGAUAUAUACUCAAGUCGAGUCUUACUAUAUCUAGGUUUGACCUUUUAAUUGGGGCUAUCAAUGUCUUGAGUUCACCCCAAUUCCUUGUUAGCCAAGUUUUCCUAGACAUAGUUUCUCUUUCUCAAAUAGAGACUAAGUCAAAUAGGCAUGAAUAAAUGUUUGCAACCAUUAAUUCUAGAAUUCAAACAUAAACAAGGAUAAAUAUCACUAACCCAAUUACAAACAAGCCCUAAAUUAAAUACCCAUAAAGUACCCAUACUAGGGUUAGGCCACAACCCUAGCUAAAGAUUUAGCUACUCAUGAAAAUAAAGAAAUAUAAGAAAAAAUUAAGAAAGAAUGCAUAAUAAUUGAUUAGAUAAGGAAAAUCUAAUAUUUAGAAGUUAAUCUAGUACAAAAUUACUCAAAAUAGUAAAGGAAAUGGCUCAGGUGCUCUUCUGAAAACUGAACUUAACCUAGAAAUGACAAAAUGUUCUAUUUAUACUAAGCUGAAAAUAUCUGACAAAAAUGCUCCUGCGAAGGUUGUGCGGCCGCAUAAUUCUGGUGCGGUCCGCACAAUGGGCUUCUGCAGCCACACGAUUAUCGUGUAGUCCUCAUUCUUGGGAACUUGGGCUUGGAACUUCAGGGCUUCUGUGGUACUCAUAAAAAUGAGUUCAGCCACACUUUUGAUUGUGCGGCCGCACAAAAAUGAUGUGGUCCGCACUCCUUGACUUUGGACUUGAUCCAACUCUCUGAUUCUUCACUCUUGUGGUCUGCAUAAUAAUGAGUGCGACAGCAAUUGACAUCCUGCGGCCGCACAAUUUCGGUGCGGUCCGCACUCCUUCAGCUGGAUCAAAGACUACCCUCUAAAUCUCCUUUCUGUGGCCGCACUAAAAUUAUGUGGUCCGUACUGUUGCCUUGUUUUGGUUCUUAUUUUUUUGACUCCUUUAUGAGUUGAUUUUAUCUUUUUGAGCUCGUUUCCCAAUGUUCCUGCAAGCAAGUACAUUUUAUUAGUUUUCGGGAAUACCUUUAAGCAUUUUGGAGUUAAAAUGCAAGUAAAAGAGAGCAAAUAAGCGGUCAAAAUUCCUACUUAUCAGCGGUAUCUCGAGAGACCCCCCUGCACAUUUACUUUUAGGACUACGAGGCGGUACCUCAGGAGAUACCUUGCAUAUUUACUUUUGGAACUACGAGGCGGUACCUCGAGAGAUCCCCUUGCAUAUUUACUUUUGGGACUAUGAGACGGUAUCUCGAGAGAUCCACUGUUGAGCAUUUACUUUUGGGACUACGAGACGGCAUCUUAGUAGAACCCCUGUUGUUUAUUUCUCUCUGUUGUGCUGUUAUCUUCCUCUAGUUUCUCCUUACUAAAUUUCUAGUCUCUUAUUACAUUGUUAUAUUUUUCCGCCUUAAAUUAUUAUAUUCCAGUAGGGCCCUGACCUGACCUCGUCACUACUCUACCGAGGUUAGGCUUGGCACUUACUAAGUACCAUGUGGUGUACUCAUGCUACUCUUCUGCACAUAUUUUGUAUGCAGAUCCAGGUACCUCCUACCAGCCCCGCUAUUAGUUGCGUACUUGUUGCUGCUCCGGAGACUUCAAGGUAUAUUUGUUAGGGUCCACAGACCUUGAAUUCCCCCUCUAUCCCUUUUGUGUUUUUCCUCCUUUAUUUCUUCUAGUUCUGAUGUAUAGAAAUAGUUAGACAAAUUCGUAGAGCUAGUGACUUGUGACUACCGUGUUUUGAGAAUAUUGUUUAUACUCGAGUGUUGGUUUACUUAUACAUGCCGAGC
rnacentral:lncRNA from 1 species